ensembl:lncRNA
CCGGCGGGGCGGCUGCAGCGCCGCGCGGGGGGAGCCGCGCACAGCCCCUGCCCCGAGCGAGGCAGCGCGUGUAGGAAGGAGAGAGCGUGCGAGAGGGAGGGAGGGAGCGGGGAGGGAGGGAGCGAGGGAGGGAGGGAGGGAGGCAGGGGAGGAAGGACGGGGAGAGCGCGUGUGUGCGAGAGGGGGGAGAGGCAGGGGAAAACUGCGGAGAGCGAGAAGAAAAGUGCGAUAGGAGCCCGGCCCCGGGUUGGUUUGCGCUAGAUUCUUUUAGCACCGAAAUACCUUCCGAUGAACCGCGAUGCUCAGGCUCUGAUUUACGCGCUGCAUUAUUUAUGGGGCUCUCCGGCUCCCGCCGCCGCCGCGAGGGGAGGACGGUUUGGCAAAUGAAGUGAGAGGAUGCACCCCCAGCCCCGAGCACCAGAUGAACUUUUCCAAACACACGCGCACACACGCGGUAAUUUUGGUAUGCUCCCUCGGCCAAUCGCCGCGCUCAGCCCGAGCAUGCCUUACCCUAGCGCAGUCAAUUACCGGCGCUCCCCGGGCUCAUCAAUCACGGGGCGCCUCCAGUGAGGGGAGGAGCGAGCCUCCGACUAUCGAUCGCUGCAGUUUUGUCCUCCCCAGCCCCCAGCCUCGUUCACGGUCCCCUGCACAUAAAAUCUAAACCAGACUAUCCCGUUAAUAGCGGGAUUUAUCAAUGAUUGUGUACCCGGUGGUGAAUGUGGCCUCGUACAUAGGUGGCUUUUAGAAAUACACGGCAGGAAAAAAAAAAAAAUAAGAAUGAUGUGAUUUGUUCGGGUAGGGGUUGGCGUGUUUUGCGUUGCUUUUCAGGAUGAGAGUGAUGAUUUUAACUUUUUUUGUUUUUUUUUUAACUUUAAGAAAAUGACUCAGGGGCAGUUGCAGAUAUUUGGCCUGAUUUUAAUAGGAGCGGGGAAUGAGCUCCAGAGGUCAAUAAAGCCCUCCAAAAUGAUGAAUGAUUGAGUACCUGUGAUGAUGAUAGUGAUUACCGGAGCAAUUAAACAGUUUGAUUAAAUGAGCCAUCAUAACAAUGAUGUCUGCGGGAAAUCAGCCCUCACAUAUAAAGAAAGAUAGCGUGGGGCUGACGGACGCCAGUGGGCAUCCCCCGAGCUCCGGCAGCACCCGGCCCGGCGGCUGCGGGCUGGAGAAGGGGAGAAGCGGCCCCGGUGUCGGCCCCGGUGUCGGCCGGAGCUGCCCUCGUUCGCGGCCCGGAGCCGGGCACGACCCCGCGGUGCUUUUCUGAGAGGAUCUCCUCCGAGAUUAGAGCUAAAUCCUAAGAGCAACCGAAUGGCUGCGCCUGGCUUUCCCGGGACUGGGAGGAGAGGUGAGUAGAAAGCCCUCAGUGUGCAGAUCUCUUUCGAGCAGUGGUGAAGUCGAUGCGUUUCGCAGGGAAAAGAGGGGACGCUCGUGCAGUAUUUUAUACUCCGUCGUAUAAAUCGGGAACGUAAUUCAGGAUAUUCAUGGUAAUGAAUGCUCGGCUAAUCCUUUGGGUGCGCGGAGACCUACAGAGCAGGAGGUUAUGCAAAUCUUUUCCUACUUUUACAGCUGUACGUUUCGAACAGAUUUUUGAGAGAUCUGCUCAGCGGUGAAUGCUAUUUGUUUUCUUGCGAUUAUUUUUUUCUUCUCUCCUCCCCCCACCCCCCAACCCCCCCACCCCGCCACAAGGAUGCCCGAGUUCCAAACUCCCGAGGCGUCCCUUCAUGGCGACGCAGCCCAUGCGGGAACCUCAGGGACGCGUUGUAAAUAUUUGCAGCUCCCAAACGGAUUUUGCAGCCGUGCCCCCUGCUGUGCCCGAGCGCGCCUCGCUCCGAGAGGGUCAGUGGCACCGAGAGGGGCUCUGUCUCUGUGCCGCGGCCGUGCAACGGUAAUCCGGUCCCGCUGAGGGCUCCGUGUGUUUGCUCAGAGCUCAGACUGGGAGAGAACUUCACCACUCUUCUUCUCAAAGAGAAGUUUUUUUACACGACUUUGCUCCCAUAGCAGAAGGCACGUCAUUGUUUAGGAUAUCAUUUUAGACUCGCUUUUAUUUUUCAUUUUUUUAUUUUUUAAUAAUUCUGUUUUUCACAGGAGCUCCUUUAAGUCCGAAUCUUCAGAGCAGAGAAUUGUUAGCCAGCAAUCUAUAAUCCAAGCUGGGAAGAAAAAAAAAAAAAAGAAAGAAAGAAAGAAAGGAAAGAAAGAAAGAAAGAAAAAAAGCAGCCAAAGAAUUUUUUUUUUAGCAGCGUUCUGUGCUGCUCCUUUCAUUUGCUCAGUUUGGCUUUUAUUUUUAAUUCCCCAAACCAACGACCCCCCCCGCGCUGCCUCGCCCCGCUGUGCGGGUGGGACAGGGACCAACUUUUAAAAAUGAUUUUUAACUUGAGAGAAAGUGAAAUUUCAUCUGGCAAACGAGGGGGGGGGAAGGGGGGGCUUUCACGUUCCUCUUGUGUCUUUUUUUUUUCUCCUUGAAAAGAGUCGAAGCCUUUUUCCUCCUCACUAUCCCAGUGGAUUAAGGCACGCAGAGAACGCGGUUAUAAAGCGCUACAGUUUGACCAUUAAAAGAGAAUGUCAGUGCAGCGCCCUUCAGUGAAACGUUGCGCCGUAUUUCUUGUAAAACACGGCCAUUCGGGAAAAUUCAAUUGGCCAAUUUCCAUUUCUCGUGCAUCACUUUCACGGCAGAGGCUGUUCCCAGGACAAGUGUGAGUGGUGAGGAGGUGCGGUGCGUGCUGGGCUUUUUUUUUUAUUAUCGUUUUUUGGGUUUUCUGUUUUUUGUUUUUCUUUUUAGAUCGGCCCCAAAGCCCAAAGAGAAAUGAGGUGUCCGGUGUGGAAGUGCAUCUCAGUCAACAGCCAGCUCCUUUGGCCGGGGCUGGAAAUGGUUUUAACAGGCGGUAAAAUUUCAUCUUGUGGUGUCAAAUUGGGGUCAGUUUGGGGUUAGCGCUCUCAGUGUCCGAGAAGGAGCUGUCCAGCUGUGUGGGGAUUCAUUAAGGGCAAAAGAUCCGUUUCAAGAAAAACAAUACAAAGACAAUCAGAGAGCUAAAGAUCCUCUUCAAAUCGCAUUUUACAAGUGCACCAGAACAAAUAUGGACGCUGAAACCUAUUCCCUUCAAACUCCCAAAUCGGCUUCUUAGCCCUCGGAGGGAGGGAAAAUCCGCUGCAGCCCGGCCGGGUCUGCUUCCAAUCACCGCCCCGAGGUGCGCCGGGCCCCGCGCCGCCCUCGCCCGCUCCCCUCUCCCCUUCGGCGCAGCGCUGCGGAGCGAUGGCACCACAACAGGUAACAUCCCGGAAUGCGUCCCCCGGUGUGUCUGAGCCACUGCUGUGCGUGUGCCCGUGGGCGUGCAGCGGGAGCUUCCAUGCGAAUAGAAAGUUUGUUUUCGAGGGGACAGACCGUGCUUGUAUGAAACCCGCUCGCAUCCUUCGCAAAUGUCCCGCAGCCCUCUCAAGCAGCGCUGUGCUCCGAUAGAUAACGUGGAGUGGAUGUGCUGUGCGGUUCCCAGCAUCUGUGGGAAGCACCUAUUGCUAAUCUGGUUUAUUAAAUUCGCGUGGUUUAAAUCCUCUUAGCGCCCCUACAUCUGUUAGAACAAUUGACGCCUUGCUGCAGGGACAAAUAACUCCGGCCAUAAUCUCGUUUGUAACUUUAUUCAGUGUUUGUUUGUUUGUGCGCGGAGUUCGAGUAUUUGGGGGCGAUGCCAUUGUAUUCGGGAAUAUACCGUACAGCCAGAGCCGGAAUGGAUGGGCUGAGGGCAGAGCAGAGCGGAAUGAGUAAUUCCGAAUAUUGGAAGUGGCAUUUUAUCCCGAACCACCGUUCUAGGAGACGUGUCAGAGUUAAUGAAGAAAGCAAUCCACGUGUUAAUGCGUCUCCGGGCUUACAGCGUAACCGGGAUCCUGUGCAAAAUCCACGGGAUUUGUUCUUUCUGAUUCUCUCCCAAGACAACGCGUGGGGUGCAGAUAGUACCUCUGCGGUUUUGGAGUCAGGAUUAUUCCCCAGCUCAGACUCCCACCUCCGAAAUCGCCCUUUGCACCCUCUCCCCCCCUCCGUGGGCUCGACUCUUAGGGCCACUCCUGUCUCUCUCAGCCCACCUCGGCCCCCCGACCCCCCUUCCCGGGCUCCGGCGGCCGCCCGGCUCCCAGGUUCCGUCCCGACCGCCCCGGCGGAACGCCGCACGUCUGAGCUCCGCGGAUCGUCGGAUUCACGGAGCUCCUCACCCCGACCCCCCGCCUGCCCGCCGCGCUCUUCUCUUUGCAGCGACCUAUUCUUUUGAGAAAACCUUUGCAGCCCAGAAAGUCAAUGGUAGCCCAUCGCGGUGAACUUUUCCUGACCUCGGCUGCGGUAUGGCUGCGGUCUUUGGGAGCUGGAUUAGGAGGAGGUUCAUUGCUUACCUGUUAACUUCCCUUUCAACUCUUGCUUCCACCCCUCCCCCUCUUUUUACAAAACCCCGACGCAACCUCCUCUCUCCGGGAGCGAAGCGGCUCCUCACCCUCUCCCGAGCCCUCACGGUCCCCCCGGGAGGCCGAGACCUGCCCGGGCCCCGCGGGCCGCCCCCCCAGGCCGUGUCCCCGCG